rnacentral:rRNA from 1 species
GAUUAUGGCUCAGGAUGAACGCUGGCGGCGUGCUUAACACAUGCAAGUCGAACGAAGCAACUAUCUUGCUUGCAAGAGAGUUGACUUAGUGGCGGACGGGUGAGUAACGCGUGGGUAACCUGCCUCAUACAGGGGGAUAACAGUUGGAAACGACUGCUAAGACCGCAUAACCCGCUAGUGUCGCAUGACACGGACGGAAAAUAUUUAUAGGUAUGAGAUGGGCCCGCGUCUGAUUAGCUAGUUGGUAAGGUAACGGCUUACCAAGGCGACGAUCAGUAGCCGACUUGAGAGAGUGAUCGGCCACAUUGGGACUGAGACACGGCCCAAACUCCUACGGGAGGCAGCAGUGGGGAAUAUUGGACAAUGGGGGAAACCCUGAUCCAGCCGACGCCGCGUGAGUGAAGAAGUAUUUCGGUAUGUAAAGCUCUAUCAGCAGGGAAGAUAAUGACAGUACCUGACUAAGAAGCCCCGGCUAACUACGUGCCAGCCGCCGC